rnacentral:rRNA from 1 species
GGGGGAUAACAGUUGGAAACGACUGCUAAUACCGCAUAAUGUCUUCGGACCAAACGGGGCUUCGGCUCCGGCGCAAAGAGAGGCCCAAGUGAGAUUAGCUAGUUGGUAAGGUAACGGCUUACCAAGGCGACGAUCUCUAGCUGUUCUGAGAGGAAGAUCAGCCACACUGGGACUGAGACACGGCCCAGACUCCUACGGGAGGCAGCAGUGGGGAAUAUUGCACAAUGGGGGAAACCCUGAUGCAGCCAUGCCGCGUGUGUGAAGAAGGCCUUCGGGUUGUAAAGCACUUUCAGUUGUGAGGAAAAGUUAGUAGUUAAUACCUGCUAGCCGUGACGUUAACAACAGAAGAAGCACCGGCUAACUCCGUGCCAGCAGCCGCGGUAAUACGGAGGGUGCGAGCGUUAAUCGGAAUUACUGGGCGUAAAGCGCACGCAGGCGGUUUGUUAAGCUAGAUGUGAAAGCCCCGGGCUCAACCUGGGAUGGUCAUUUAGAACUGGCAGACUAGAGUCUUGGAGAGGGGAGUGGAAUUCCAGGUGUAGCGGUGAAAUGCGUAGAUAUCUGGAGGAACAUCAGUGGCGAAGGCGACUCCCUGGCCAAAGACUGACGCUCAUGUGCGAAAGUGUGGGUAGCGAACAGGAUUAGAUACCCUGGUAGUCCACACCGUAAACGCUGUCUACUAGC